AGUCGACGGGGCUAGAGGAGCUUGCUCCUCGACGCCUAGUGGCGGACGGGUGAGUAACGCGUGAGUAACCUGCCUUUCAGAGGGGAAUAACGUUCUGAAAAGAACGCUAAUACCGCAUAACGUGCAGCUUUCGCAUGGAAGCAGUACCAAAGGAGCAAUCCGCUGAGAGAUGGACUCGCGUCCGAUUAGCUAGUUGGUGGGGUAAAGGCCUACCAAGGCGACGAUCGGUAGCCGGACUGAGAGGUUGAACGGCCACAUUGGGACUGAGACACGGCCCAGACUCCUACGGGAGGCAGCAGUGGGGGAUAUUGCACAAUGGGGGAAACCCUGAUGCAGCAACGCCGCGUGUGGGAAGAAGGUUUUCGGAUUGUAAACCACUGUUCUUGGUGAAGAUAAUGACGGUAACCAAGGAGAAAGCUCCGGCUAACUACGUGCCAGCAGCCGCGGUAAUACGUAGGGAGCAAGCGUUGUCCGGAUUUACUGGGUGUAAAGGGUGCGUAGGCGGUCUUGCAAGUCAGACGUGAAAACCACAGGCUCAACCUGUGGACUGCGUUUGAAACUGUGGGGCUUGAGUGAAGUAGAGGUAGGCGGAAUUCCCGGUGUAGCGGUGAAAUGCGUAGAGAUCGGGAGGAACACCAGUGGCGAAGGCGGCCUACUGGGCUUUAACUGACGCUGAGGCACGAAAGCAUGGGUAGCAAACAGGAUUAGAUACCCUGGUAGUCCAUGCCGUANACGAUGAUUACUAGGUGUGNGGGGUCUGACCCCCUCCGUGCCGGAGUUAACACAAUAAGUAAUCCACCUGGGGAGUACGGCCGCAAGGUUGAAACUCA
rnacentral:rRNA from 1 species